rnacentral:lncRNA from 1 species
AUCUUUCCAGCCUCAGUCGGACGGGCGCGGAGACGCUUCUGGAAGGAACGCCGCGAUGGCUGCGCAGGGAGAGCCCCAGGUCCAGUUCAAACCCUUCCUCUGGCUUGCUAGGAAGCUCAUUGGAGACCCUAACUUGGAAUUUGUUGCCAUGCCUGCUCUCGCCCCACCAGAAGUUGUCAUGGACCCAGCUUUGGCAGCACAGUAUGAGCACGACUUAGAGGUUGCUCAGACAACUGCUCUCCCGGAUGAGGAUGAUGACCUGUGAGAAUGAAGCUGGAGCCCAGCGUCAGAAGUCUAGUUUUAUAGGCAGCUGUCCUGUGAUGUCAGCGGUGCAGCGUGUGUGCCACCUCAUUAUUAUCUAGCUAAGCGGAACAUGUGCUUCAUCUGUGGGAUGCUGAAGGAGAUGAGUGGGCUUCGGAGUGAAUGUGGCAGUUUAAAAAAUAACUUCAUUGUUUGGACCUGCAUAUUUAGCUGUUUUGGAACGCAGUUGAUUCCUUGAGUUUCAUAUAUAAGACUGCUGCAGUCACAUCACAAUAUUCAGUGGUGAAAUCUUGUUUGUUACUGUCAUUCCCA